rnacentral:rRNA from 1 species
AUUGAACGCUGGCGGCAGGCCUAACACAUGCCAGUCGAGCGGAUGAAGGGAGCUUGCUCCUGGAUUCAGCGGCGGACGGGUGAGUAAUGCCUAGGAAUCUGCCUGGUAGUGGGGGAUAACGUCCGGAAACGGGCGCUAAUACCGCAUACGUCCUGAGGGAGAAAGUGGGGGAUCUUCGGACCUCACGCUAUCAGAUGAGCCUAGGUCGGAUUAGCUAGUUGGUGGGGUAAAGGCCUACCAAGGCGACGAUCGGUAACUGGUCUGAGAGGAUGAUUAGUCACACUGGAACUGAGACACGGUCCAGACUACUACGGGAGGCAGCAGUGGGGAAUAUUGGACAAUGGGCGAAAGCCUGAUCCAGCCAUGCCGCGUGUGUGAAGAAGGUCUUCGGAUUGUAAAGCACGUUAAGUUGGGAGGAAGGGCAGUAAGUUAAUACCUUGCUGUUUUGACGUUACCAACAGAAUAAGCACCGGCUAACUUCGUG